rnacentral:rRNA from 1 species
UACAGGGGGGGCAAGCGUUGUUCGGAAUUACUGGGCGUAAAGGGCUCGUAGGUGGCCGACUAAGUCAGACGUGAAAUCCCUCAGCUUAACUGGGGAACUGCGUCUGAUACUGGAUGGCUUGAGUUUGGGAGAGGGACGCGGAAUUCCAGGUGUAGCGGUGAAAUGCGUAGAUAUCGGGAGGAACACCGAUGGCGAAGGCAGCUCGCUGGGACGGUACUGACGCUGAGGCGCGAAAGCGUGGGGAGCGAACAGG